AUUCACUCUAAGGAAAGCCACACUGAGAGCUGCCCUGGGGAGGUGUCCCUGUGGCCAGGAACUGAGGGCAACCCUCCAGCCAACAACCAGCGAAGAACUGAGGCUCUCGGCCCAACAGCCUGCGUGGAAUGGAAUCCCACCAACAACCAUGGCAGUGAGCUUGAAAGUGGCCCCUCCCCAUCUCGAGCCUGAGAUGACCACAGCCCCAGCUGGACCGGGAACGCAGCCUGCAGACUCUGAGAUGGAGGACUCGGGUUUGAACUGGAGUAAGCUGGAGUGAAAAAAGCAGUGGGCACAGACAUAUUGCCCCUUCCUCUGG
rnacentral:lncRNA from 1 species